rnacentral:lncRNA from 1 species
CGUGGCUCAGGACUCGUUGUGGCAUUAUGUGUACAGUGCUGCUGGAGUCAUUGUGUUUGUGAUCAUAGUGACAUCGAUAUCUAUUGCACUAAUGAAAGCAUGUGAAGGUGUCCACUGUGCAGGAGGAUCCAGAACCACAACAGAUCCGAACCCUGAAGCUUCUGACCACGAAGCAGCCAUUUAUGAGAAUGACAUGUGAUGACUGAGUCUGUGCUUUGAAAACUGUCACAUAAAAACUCUGAUAUUAAGGCUGUGAUUAAUAUCAAAGACUGUAAACUUACUCUGAUGUAUUACAUUUUUAUGAUUUGCUGUAUAAGAAGCGAUGGAAAGCAGCACAGAGCGUAGAAAAUGGCAUUUUUUUCCAGAAAACUACUUGUCUUGGUUUGGAUGUUUUGUACAACACACCCACUGUUAAAGUUGAAAUUCUGACUUGGUGCUGUUGUGGUU